GGACCAGUCCCAGAACAGACCCUUCUGGGGAAUGUGCAAGAUUUGAGCAAUUUGGGUCGGCUCAGUUAACACUGUCCUGUACACUAUCCUGUAUACUUUCCUCUGAUAAAGCCCAAGACAUAAUCUGGCCCCACCCAGAUGCAGAUGAGUCGGGGAAGAGUACACAUCAGAAACAAGGAAACUAAAGAAGAAAAGAAGAGAGUCAAAAUGGUGUUUCACAGACAGGACUUCUGUCCAUGACUGUCACACCCCCAGAAAUUUUAAUUUGUCCAAUUUAAUCACCAUUGUUCUGGUGAACAAAGCUGUCACUUUGGAUGACAACAUGGAUGACCUCAUGGCUUAUAGAUUAUCCUUGGACCAAUGUCUACAUCUGGUUUAAUCAACCAUAGCUACGAAGACAAGGUCACAAUGGUACUAAAAAGAAUUUCUUAAAGCACUGCCUAAAACCUUUCUUCAGCAAAGAAAGACACUUCCUUCUAAAGGGCCACUGCCCUUUGUAAAAGGACCAUAAAUUUUGUAGGCUUUCUGAAGCUUGGUCUAUUUUCUGCAGCAAGUAUCUUAAACUCUGAACUGAGUGAGGAAAAAAUAAUCUAGAACCUUCAAACUCAAAAAAAAGAAUUCAAGUUUUAAUAAAGAAAGGACUUUGGUACUUAUAUGGCCA
rnacentral:lncRNA from 12 species